ensembl:lncRNA
GGGUGGUCAGUUGUCAUAGUGUCUGGUAGUGUAGGGUUGUCAUAGUGUCUGGUAGUGUAGGGUGGUCAUAGUGUAGGGUGGUCAGUUGUCAUAGUGUCUGGUAGUGUAGGGUUGUCAUAGUGUCUGGUAGUGUAGGGUGGUCAGUUGUCAUAGUGUCUGGUAGUGUAGGGUUGUCAUAGUGUCUGGUAGUGUAGGGUGGUCAUAGUGUAGGGUGGUCAGUUGUCAUAGUGUCUGGUAGUGUAGGGUUGUCAUAGUGUCUGGUAGUGUAGGGUGGUCAGUUGUCAUAGUGUCUGGUAGUGUAGGGUGGACAGUUG